rnacentral:rRNA from 1 species
GGGGUAUGCUUCUUCGGAAGCAGAGACCGGCGCACGGGUGCGUAACGCGUAUGCAAUCUACCUUUCACAGAGGGAUAGCCCAGAGAAAUUUGGAUUAAUACCUCAUAGUAUAGCAGUUUCGCAUGAAACCACUAUUAAAGUCACAACGGUGAAAGAUGAGCAUGCGUCCCAUUAGCUAGUUGGUAAGGUAACGGCUUACCAAGGCAACGAUGGGUAGGGGUCCUGAGAGGGAGAUCCCCCACACUGGUACUGAGACACGGACCAGACUCCUACGGGAGGCAGCAGUGAGGAAUAUUGGACAAUGGGCGCAAGCCUGAUCCAGCCAUGCCGCGUGCAGGAUGACGGUCCUAUGGAUUGUAAACUGCUUUUAUACGAGAAGAAACCCUCCGACGUGUCGGAGCUUGACGGUAUCGUAAGAAUAAGGAUCGGCUAACUCCGUGCCAGCAGCCGCGGUAAUACGGAGGAUCCAAGCGUUAUCCGGAAUCAUUGGGUUUAAAGGGUCCGUAGGCGGUCAGGUAAGUCAGUGGUGAAAGCCCAUCGCUCAACGGUGGAACGGCCAUUGAUACUGUCUGACUUGAAUUAUUAGGAAGUAACUAGAAUAUGUAGUGUAGCGGUGAAAUGCUUAGAGAUUACAUGGAAUACCAAUUGCGAAGGCAGGUUACUACUAAUGGAUUGACGCUGAUGGACGAAAGCGUGGGUAGCGAACAGGAUUAGAUACCCUGGUAGUCCACGCCGUAAACGAUGGAUACUAGCUGUUGGGAGCAAUCUCAGUGGCUAAGCGAAAGUGAU